ACGAACGCUGGCGGCAGGCCUAACACAUGCAAGUCGAGCGAGGACUUCGGUCCUAGCGGCGGACGGGUGAGUAACGCGUGGGAACGUGCCCUUUGCUUCGGAAUAGCCCUGGGAAACUGGAGUAAUACCGGAUGAGCCCUUUGGGGGAAAGAUUUAUCGGCGAAGGAUCGGCCCGCGUUGGAUUAGGUAGUUGGUGGGGUAAUGGCCUACCAAGCCGACGAUCCAUAGCUGGUUUGAGAGGAUGAUCAGCCACACUGGGACUGAGACACGGCCCAGACUCCUACGGGAGGCAGCAGUGGGGAAUCUUAGACAAUGGGGGAAACCCUGAUCUAGCCAUGCCGCGUGAGCGAUGAAGGCCUUAGGGUUGUAAAGCUCUUUCAGCUGGGAAGAUAAUGACGGUACCAGCAGAAGAAGCCCCGGCUAACUCCGUG
rnacentral:rRNA from 1 species